GACGUAGGGGUCUAGCGUUGUCCGGAAUCAUUGGGCGUAAAGAGCUCGUAGGCGGUUUGGCAAGUCGGAUGUGAAAUCUCCACGCUCAACGUGGAGGGGCCAUUCGAAACUGCCGUGACUCGAGUCCGGUAGGGGAGUGCGGAAUUCCAGGUGUAGCGGUGAAAUGCGUAGAUAUCUGGAGGAACACCGGUGGCGAAGGCGGCUACCUGGACCAGCACUGACACUGAGGCACGAAAGCGUGGGGAGCAAACAGG
rnacentral:rRNA from 1 species